rnacentral:rRNA from 1 species
GAGUUUGAUCAUGGCUCAGGAUGAACGCUAGCGGCAGGCUUAACACAUGCAAGUCGAGGGGUAUAGUUCUUCGGAAUUAGAGACCGGCGCACGGGUGCGUAACGCGUAUGCAAUCUACCUUUCACAGAGGGAUAGCCCAGAGAAAUUUGGAUUAAUACCUCAUAGUAUUAUGGAAUGGCAUCAUUUUAUAAUUAAAGUCACAACGGUGAAAGAUGAGCAUGCGUCCCAUUAGCUAGUUGGUAAGGUAACGGCUUACCAAGGCUACGAUGGGUAGGGGUCCUGAGAGGGAGAUCCCCCACACUGGUACUGAGACACGGACCAGACUCCUACGGGAGGCAGCAGUGAGGAAUAUUGGACAAUGGGCGCAAGCCUGAUCCAGCCAUGCCGCGUGCAGGAUGACGGUCCUAUGGAUUGUAAACUGCUUUUGCACAGGAAGAAACAACGCUACGUGUAGCGUCUUGACGGUACUGUGAGAAUAAGGAUCGGCUAACUCCGUGCCAGCAGCCGCGGUAAUACGGAGGAUCCAAGCGUUAUCCGGAAUCAUUGGGUUUAAAGGGUCCGUAGGCGGUUUAGUAAGUCAGUGGUGAAAGCCCAUCGCUCAACGGUGGAACGGCCAUUGAUACUGCUAGACUUGAAU